AAAGGGAUGAAAAAUAAAAACAGAAUUUAAAGUCAGCUACCAUACUACUACUUGGUUCAAGGAGAGAAGACAAUCCUAAGAAACACAUAAGAAAACAUGAGCAGAUAACACAUGGCAGAGUUGUAAGUAGAGCCCAGUAAAGGAAGAAGUCAAGAGAAGAUGUUGACCUUGCCUCGAGGGAUUGAAGUUUGAAGCAGGUGGCCCAGAAUGUCCCUAAUGUCAAAGCAGCAACAGCAAAAAUUGUCAAAGACUAGGAAAAGUGGGCAUUGAGAAAAACAGCCAUGUCUGAUAGAGAACAGAAAAAGGCCCUGCCAAAUGUGUGCAUCAGCUGUUGUCCACAGCAAGUGCCAUAUCUCUAAAUUAACAAAGGAAUGGGUAAGGUGAGCCAGUCCUGUGUGAGGACAUUACUUCCCCAAAAGUCCCAACAUCUGCAUCCCUUCGGGAUUUCUGCAACUAUAUCCAUUAAUUAAAAAUACACAUGGUCCUUUGA